rnacentral:rRNA from 1 species
UACGUAGGGGGCAAGCGUUGUCCGGAAUCAUUGGGCGUAAAGCGCGUGUAGGCGGUCCGGUAAGUCGGCUGUGAAAGUCCAGGGCUCAACCCUGGGAUGCCGGUCGAUACUGCCGGACUAGAGUUCGGAAGAGGCGAGUGGAAUUCUCGGUGUAGCGGUGAAAUGCGCAGAUAUCGGGAGGAACACCAAUGGCGAAGGCAGCUCGCUGGGACGUUACUGACGCUGAGACGCGAAAGCGUGGGGAGCAAACAGG